rnacentral:lncRNA from 1 species
AAAAAUAGUGGUAAAAGCUACUCUGACACACGUGUGGAGAGAGAAGCUGUUUGACUGCACUGUGAGGCUCAUUGUACUUCUUGUGCUUUCUUCUUCCUUCUCAGCAGAUCUGCUCUUACCAAGCUGAAGGCUGUAUCUCCUGGGUCAUCAAAGAUAGAUAGCGUAGUGCUGCUUAUACAUGCCAAGACUAGCUGACACAAAGUUAUGAAGAGGGAGCUUCAAUGAGUUAAUAUGGCUUUUAUCCUUCUUUAGAGCCAUAAUUCUGAGAAGAAUCAGCAGGAGCAUGGUUUGUCAAAGGAUUUCUGUCAUCACUGAGCUUUUGGCCCUCUACCUUCAGUGCAGUUUUAGGCACCAACAACAACCUCAGCUGCAACUACUGACAAAGACAGUGGGAGGUGAGGGAAUAUCAGACUGCUGCACAGAUUUCCUGGGUAAACAUAAGCGCUACUUAAGCACCAAAAUUGUGAAUAGAUGGCUCAUGGCUGAAGCAUUCAGGAUUCAGUUUUCCCAGCAGGAAGAUCUGAGAACAGACCCUCUCAUGGGGCACUGAGGGACUCUGAGAUACUGAAGAAGGAAAAAGCUUACAGAAGUGCAUGUAGGCAAUGGUGUGCAUCCUCCUGGAGGUGAGGGGUGUGAGUGUAUAUGUACGUACAUUUGGAUGUUUGGGGGGUAGGAGAAGGAAGCAGAAGCUGCUGCUUUCCACGGGAGCCCAGGGCGUGCUGACCUGCUGCACCAAGCCAACGGGACAACUUGCUACCUUAGCUGCUCGGAGAAACAGGAAUUGACAGUACAUCUAGUAAAGAAACUACCCUGAGGAAGCAUUCUCUGAUAUUUUCAGUUGGGACAUAAACUUGUGGAGUCUUUAAUCUGGUACACAAACAAUGAUUUUUACAUAUUUGAAUGAAUGUCUUUCUAUGUCUUCACAUGCUUUCCCUCAUGUUUCACGCAUGCUGUAUUGAAGAAAUACGCAUAUUGUGUAUAUAUGCAAGAUUUUUUUUUCUCUGCCAAAUCAACUUAGAGUAGUUCUUUGUCCAUCCAACACAUCUUAAAAUUCAGGCACUGAAAAAAAGUGGUAGGGAUGGAUGAGUCAUCUUAGCUUCUCUUCAAAUGCCUGCAAAAUAAAAUUGGGCAUUUAUUGUUAUUUCA